GUGUGCGUGUGUGUGCAUGUGUGUACAUGUGUGUGCACGUGUCUGUGUGUAUGCUUGUAUAUGAGUAUCCGUGUGUCCGUGUGUCUGUGUGUGUAUGCCUGUGCAUGCAUGCAUACAUGCGUGUGUGCAUGUGGCGUCUCCUCACCAUCUUGUCUCACUAACUUACACAUUUAGGAAUGCCUCCUUUGCCUUCACACUACUGUCUGCUCCAGGCAUUCCUGCUCUCAGCUGCUUCCUUUAAGUCUUGUCUGAAUGCUUCUCCCUGGCAGCAUGCUCCAGAUGUUCUGCACAGUUUUUCCCCACAUCAGAAGCUACUUACAGUCCCCCUAUAUGUACCUUACCAUCUGUAUUUUCCAGUUGCAUCUACAUCAUUGGCAGUCAAAUGUCUAUGUCUAAGUAGCUUUCCUUUUUUUUAAAGUUUUAAAUAUAUUUAUAUGUAAAUAU
rnacentral:lncRNA from 1 species